rnacentral:rRNA from 1 species
GACGAACCGUGCGAACGUUGUUCGGAAUCACUGGGCUUAAAGGGCGCGUAGGCGGCUUGCCAAGUCCGGGGUGAAAGCCUCCAGCUUAACUGGAGAAGUGCCUUGGAUACUGGCGAGCUCGAGCGAGGUAGGGGCGGGUGGAACUUCCGGUGGAGCGGUGAAAUGCGUUGAUAUCGGAAGGAACGCCGGUGGCGAAAGCGACCCGCUGGACCUCUUCUGACGCUGAGGCGCGAAAGCUAGGGUAGCGAACGGGAUUAGAUACCCCGGUAGUCCUAGCCCUAAACGAUGGGUACUAGAUAGUGGACUUACAUGGGUUCACUGUCGAAGCAAAAGUGAUAAGUACCCCGCCUGGGGAGUAUGGUCGCAAGGCUGAA